GUGAACUAUUGUGUUUGGUUUUGUUAAAAAAAAAAUUUGCGAUUGAAGGGGAGAAAAAAAAAAUCAGAGCUUGAGACGAAAAGGCAAAUCAUUCGCCAAAUUCUCCUUGACUGUCCCCGUCGUCUCCGCUCAUCUCUGCCGCGACUCCGUCACCGGCAAAUCACUGCGUUACGCUUACGUCAACUUCGAUUCCGCCAUCACCGAGACCAGAGAGAACAUUAGCCUAGAGAGAGCUCGCUCGUGUCUGAAAGAACAUCAAACCUCGUAUCAAAAAAGGAAAAUGGCAUUGAAGCUUAACCCUUUGGCAUCUCAGCCUUACAAACUCGCUUCCUCGGCUCGUCUGCCAAUUUCUACUUUCAGAUCUCCCAAGUUCCUCUGCCUCGCUCUCAGCUCCAGCACUAAGAUCGAAGAAGUUGUUUGUUGGAAGGGCUUUGAGAAAAGCUGAAAGGAUGGAGAUGCUGAAACAGAAGCACAAAGACAAUUUUGUUGUCAAGUUUAAUGUUGGUUGGUUUAAUCUGUACGUGAAGAACUUGAGUGACGCAAUCAACGAAACAAGGCUGCUAGAGAUAUUUGGAAGCUAUGGGAAGAUAGUCUCAGCAAAAGUGAUGCAUGAUAAAAAUGGCAAAAGUAAAGGAUUCAAUUUCAAUUUUAAAAAAAAAUUAAUAUUUUUUUUUAAGGACUCCAUCUUCAAAAACACCAUUAGACAACCUGUUUUGAUUUAAAUCUUUAACUAUUCAAACAAAAA